CCCUUAGAUGUUCUGGGCCGCACGCGUGCUACACUGAGUGGAUCAGCGGGUCAGGUUGCGCGAAAGCGUUUCCUAAUCUUUAAAUCCGCUCGUGAUGGGGAUUGACGGUUGCAAUUUUCUGUCAUGAACGAGGAAUACCUUGUAAGCGCGGGUCAUCAUCCCGCGCUGAAUACGUCCCUGCCCUUUGUACACACCGCCCGUCGCUCCUACCGAUUGAGUGGUCCGGUGAAUGAUUCGGACCAGCGUGCUGCUCAGAUCCUGCGCAGUGUGCUGGGAAGUCUAGUGAACCUUAUCACUUAGAGGAAGGAGAAGUCGUAACA
rnacentral:rRNA from 1 species